rnacentral:rRNA from 1 species
UAUUCUUAUAAGACGAGAAGACCCCAUGGAGCUUUAAACCCAACUAUAUACCUAACUAUUAUAACCACUUAAUCCCUUAGUACUAAUAUAUUUGGUUUUAGGUUGGGGCGACCACGGAGUAUAACUAAACCUCCACAAUGAACGAAACAACCUUCUUAUCUAAGAAUUACACCUCUAAGAAUUAGCACACUAACAUAAAAUGACCCAUUAUUGAUCAACGAACCAAGUUACCCUGGGGAUAACAGCGCAAUCCAUUUUAAGAGCCCCU